rnacentral:rRNA from 1 species
UACGGGGGGGGCAAGCGUUGUUCGGAAUUACGUGGGCGUAAGGCUCGUAGGCGGCCAACUAAGUCAGACGUGAAAUCCCUCGGCUUAACCGGGGAACUGCAUCUGAUACUGGAUGGCUUGAGUUCGGGAGAGGGAUGCGGAAUUCCAGGUGUAGCGGUGAAAUGCGUAGAUAUCGGGAGGAACACCAAUGGCGAAGGCAGCUUGCUGGGACGGUACUGACGCUGAGACGCGAAAGCGUGGGGAGCAAACAGG